rnacentral:lncRNA from 10 species
UCCCAAAGCAGCAUUUCCCAAACAAAAGUGAUGAAUGGUAGAUCUCUUCUUGGGAACUUGAUACCUGAUGGAGCAAAUUGACCCUGCAAUUGGCACUGAAGAUCAGGAAUUAAAAAUCAAAGAUGCUGAUGGAAAGUGAGUGGAACACUUCUCUCUCUCUUUCGAUGAAGCCUCCCUAGGACAACAGGACUGAUGCUAUCUUCCUUGGGAAUUCUUCUGAGGCCUUCUGCUUGUAGGUCUAACCUCUGAGUAGACAGGUUUCUAAGAACUAAGAAAGUAUUACUGUGGGGAACUCAGCAGGUGGCUGCCUGCGAAUGAAGCUCCCAGAGAGGAAAAUGUUCUCGAGAGAGGGAGAGAAGCAGUUUCCUCAUUUAGGUCACCAGAUCUGGCUGUGCCUAAAGCAAGGCCUGGAUAUUUCAAUUACAACAGCCAAAUAAAUUUCCCUUUUUCGCUUA